GCUACCCACUCCAGUAUUCUGGCCUGGAGAAUUCCACGGACUAUAUAGUCUGUGGGGUCACAGAGAGUCUGACAUGACUGAGAUACUUUCACUUCACUUCACUUCACUUCUUUACCACUAGCAACACCUGGGAAGCCCCUUGGCCAACAGAGGAGACAGUCAGUUGAUUUGGAGAAAUUGUACCAAGUUUGGGUCCGCCAAUUUGUAACCAUGAAGUAGACCAGUUGACCACAUUGCAGAAUGGAAACCCACACCUGGAACUUCUCCAGGUCACAUUCAGCAAGCAAGACACACUGGUCAAUAUGAAGGCCUCUUGCAUUGGAUUUGGCUUCUGAUUCAUCAUCUUCAGCGUCAGGAUAAUUACGGAUUUGCUUUCAACAGCGGAUUCAUAUAUCCAGUGGGUCAUUAACUCCAUUUCAGUGACACUCACUAAACACCUUCAUUGAGCUUACUGUUCUGACAGGCACUGUAGAAAACAUGGUCUCUUCAGGCAAUAAAAUCUAAUUUAUUUAACUUGUCAUAUUAUUGUAAUUUAGAUGUAUUUCCUAUAGUUUGCUCAUUUUAUCUUUCAUUUCUCAGUUUUUUGAAACAUCAGAGCAAUAAGUGGUGCAAUAGCUGCUUAGUAAAUUUUUUUAUGCACAUUAUUCUUCUGCUUAUGAAUUUGUAAACUAAUCAGUUCAUAUGCUAAUCUGCUAUGGAUCUGUGUUAUUUAAUUAAAUCUGAAAAUAGUAUAUUAAUAUUUAUCAAUGUUUAACUGACUAAAGUCAACCUUAUAUAUAUAUUUAAAUUAAGUAUCACUGUAAACAAUGGAACCAUAAAAAAUUCCUGAACAUUUUGGGUCAGAUUUUUCAAAUCUGAGAGGAAUGAAAAGCUCGGGUUAUCAGCAGUAAUCUUUUAAAACUCAGGGUGCUUGAAGGCCAGCCAAAAUUAUAAUGAGCUUGAAGCAAAUUAUCU
rnacentral:lncRNA from 1 species